rnacentral:rRNA from 1 species
GUGGAGUGAAGUUUAGUAAUGAAGUCCGUGAGCUAUGCGUCAAGAAAAGCCGCUAUUGUUCAUACCAUACCCGUACCGUAAACCGACACAGGUGGAUGAGGAGAGAAUCCUAAGGCCGGCGGAAGAAGCAUUGUCAAGGAACUCGGCAAAAUGACCCCGUAACUUCGGGAGAAGGGGUGCCUGCGAGAGCAGGCCGCAGAGAAUAGGCUCAAGCAACUGUUUAGCAAAAACACAGGUCUAUGCGAAACCGAAAGGUGAGGUAUAUGGGCUGACGCCUGCCCGGUGCUGGAAGGUUAAGAGGAGAGGUUAGCGCAAGCGAAGCUUUGAAUUUAAGGCCCAGUAAACGGCGGCCGUGACAAUAACGGUCCUAAGGUAGCGAAAUUCCUUGUCGGGUAAGUUCCGACCCGCACGAAAGGCGUAAUGAUUUGAGCGCUGUCUCGACAAUGCAUCCGGUGAAAUUGAAGUACCAGUGAAGAUGCUGGUUACCUGCGCCAGGACGGAAAGACCCCAUGGAGCUUUACUCCAGUUUGGUACUGGGAUCCGGUACCGCAUGUACAGGAUAGGUGGGAGGCUGAGAAUCGGUAACGCCAGUUGCCGAGGAGCCGCUGUUGGGAUACCACCCUUGCAGUAUUGGGUUUCUAACCAGCUGCCGUGACCCGGCGGUGGGACAAUGCCAGACGGGGAGUUUGACUGGGGCGGUCGCCUCCGAAAGGGUAUCGGAGGCGCCCAAAGGUUCCCUCAGGAUGGACGGAAACCAUCCAAAGAGUGCAAAGGCAGAAGGGAGCUUGACUGCGACACCGACGGGUGGAGCAGGUACGAAAGUAGGGCUUAGUGAUCCGGUGGUAUUAAGUGGGAAUGCCAUCGCUCAACGGAUAAAAGCUACCCUGGGAUAACAGGCUUAUCACUCCCAAGAGUUCACAUCGACGGAGUGGUUUGGCACCUCGAUGUCGGCUCAUCGCAUCCUGGGGCUGUAGUAGGUCCCAAGGGUUGGGCUGUUCGCCCAUUAAAGCGGUACGCGAGCUGGGUUCAGAACGUCGUGAGACAGUUCGGUCCCUAUCCGGCGUGGGCGUAGGAUAUCUGAGAGGAGCUGUCCUUAGUACGAGAGGACCGGGAUGGACGGGCCGCUGGUGCACCGGUUAGACUGCCAAGUCUAUAGCCGGGUAGCCAAGCCCGGAAGGGAUAAACGCCGAAGGCAUCUAAGCGUGAAGCCCCCCUCAAGAUGAGAUAUCCCAUCCGAAAGGAGUAAACCCCCUUGAAGACGACGAGGUCGAUAGGGCAGAGGUGGAAGUGUGGUAACACAUGGAGCUGACUGCUACUAAUAGGGUGAGGGCUUGAUC